rnacentral:rRNA from 1 species
GACAGAGGGUGCAAACGUUGUUCGGAAUUACUGGGCGUAAAGCGUGUGUAGGCGGCUACGUAAGUCGGAUGUGAAAGCCCCAGGCUCAACCUGGGAAGUGCACUCGAUACUGCGUAGCUUGAGUAUCGGAGAGGUUGGUGGAAUUCUCGGUGUAGAGGUGAAAUUCGUAGAUAUCGAGAGGAACACCGGUGGCGAAGGCGGCCAACUGGACGAAUACUGACGCUGAGAACACGAAAGCGUGGGGAGCAAACAGG